rnacentral:rRNA from 1 species
ACAAGUACCGUGAGGGAAAGUUGCAAAGCACUUUGAAGAGAGAGUUAAAGAGGACGUGAAACCGGUAGGAUGGAAACGGAUAGAGCCAGCGAAGUCGCUCGUAUUCAGCCAAAGGCCCGGGGCUCAUCGUCGUCGUGUUUCUAAUCGAGCACGGCGGCGACUCUGCUCUGGGCUGAGGUGCAUUUGCGGGCGUUUGCGCUGACUUGCGAGGCAGCUGCUGGACGGGCGUUCUAGAGGCUUCCCUCUGGGUUGAACCUGGAUGCCAAUACAGCUGUUUGCCUUGCUCGUACUGGUCUGGCCUACGAACCUGGGCUCUGUUGUUGCCUUCGGGCCAAGGCAUCGCAUGCGAUGUCUAGUCUGCGGGUUGCAGCAUGGUUCAGUGUUCCCAGAUCGCCUCUCGGUGUAGAAGCUGGUCGUCUCUCCGACCCGUCUUGAAACACGGACCAAGGAGUUUAGCGUAUGCGCGAGUCAUUGGGUGCACAAACCCACAGGCGCAAUGAAAGUAAAGGCUCGGUCGCCGGGCUGACAUGUGAGUGCCGCGGCUUCGGCCUAGGCAUGCAGCAUGGUCCCGUUGCAGCCGCUUGCGGCGCAGCGGAGACAGAGCGUAUGCGCUGAGACCCGAAAGAUGGUGAACUAUUCCUGAGCUGGACGAAGCCAGAGGAAACUCUGGUGGAAGUCCGAAGCGAUUCUGACGUGCAAAUCGAUCGUCUGACUUGGGUACAGGGGCGAAAGACUAAUCGAACCAUCUAGUAGCUGGUUCCUUCCGA